GGCUGCUAAUACCGGAUGUGCCGAAAGGUGAAAGAUUUAUUGCCUGAAGAUGAGCUCGCGUCUGAUUAGCUAGUAGGUGUGGUAAGAGCGCACCUAGGCGACGAUCAGUAGCUGGUCUGAGAGGACGAUCAGCCACACUGGGACUGAGACACGGCCCAGACUCCUACGGGAGGCAGCAGUGGGGAAUUUUCCGCAAUGGGCGAAAGCCUGACGGAGCAAUACCGCGUGAGGGAGGAAGGCUCUUGGGUUGUAAACCUCUUUUCUCAAGGAAGAAUACAAUGACGGUACUUGAGGAAUAAGCAUCGGCUAACUCCGUGCCAGCAGCCGCGGUAAUACGGAGGAUGCAAGCGUUAUCCGGAAUGAUUGGGCGUAAAGCGUCCGCAGGUGGCAAUGAAAGUCUGCUGUUAAAGAGUGAGGCUCAACCUCAUAAAAGCGGUGGAAACUACAUAGCUAGAGUACGUUCGGGGCAGANGGAAUUCCUGGUGUAGCGGUGAAAUGCGUAGAGAUCAGGAAGAACACCGGUGGCGAAAGCGCUCUGCUAGGCCUGUACUGACACUGAGGGACGAAAGCUAGGGGAGCGAAUGGGAUUAGAUACCCCAGUAGUCCUAGCCGUAAACGAUGGAUACUAAGCGUGGCUUGUAUCGACCCGAGCCGUGCCGGAGCUUACGCGUUAAAUAUCCCCGCCUGGGGAGUACGCACGCCAGUGUGAAACUCAAAGGAAUUGACGGGGGGCCGCACAAGCGGUGGAGUAUGUGGUUUAAUUCGAUGCAACGCGAAGAACCUUACCAAGACUUGACAUGUCGCGAAUCCUCUUGAAAGGGAGGAGUGCCUUCGGGAGCGCGAACACAGGUGGUGCAUGGCUGUCGUCAGCUCGUGUCGUGAGAUGAUUGGGUUAGUCCCGCAACGAGCGCAACCCUCGUUUUUAGUUGCCAGCAUUAAGUUGGGCACUCUAGAGAGACUGCCGGUGACAAACCGGAGGAAGGUGGGGAUGACGUCAAGUCAGCAUGCCCCUUACGUCUUGGGCUACACACGUACUACAAUGCUACGGACAAAGGGCAGCAAGCUAGUGAUAGCAAGCAAAUCUCAUAAACCGUAGCUCAGUUCAGAUCGCAGGCUGCAACUCGCCUGCGUGAAGUCGGAAUCGCUAGUAAUUGCAGGUCAGCAUACUGCAGUGAAUUCGUUCCCGGGCCUUGUACACACCGCCCGUCACACCAUGGAAGCUGGCAACGCCCGAAGUCAUUACUCCA
rnacentral:rRNA from 1 species